rnacentral:rRNA from 1 species
AGCGAACGCUGGCGGCAGGCCUAACACAUGCAAGUCGAACGAACCUUUCGGGGUUAGUGGCGGACGGGUGAGUAACACGUGGGAACGUGCCUUUAGGUUCGGAAUAACUCAGGGAAACUUGUGCUAAUACCGAAUGUGCCCUUCGGGGGAAAGAUUAAUCGCCUUUAGAGCGGCCCGCGUCUGAUUAGCUAGUUGGUUGAGGUAAUGGCUCACCAAGGCGACGAUCAGUAGCUGGUCUGAGAGGAUGAUCAGCCACAUUGGGACUGAGACACGGCCCAAACUCCUACGGGAGGCAGCAGUGGGGAAUCUUGCGCAAUGGGCGAAAGCCUGACGCAGCCAUGCCGCGUGAAUGAUGAAUGUCUUAGGAUUGUAAAAUUCUUUCACCGGGGACGAUAAUGACGGUACCCGGAGAAGAAGCCCCGGCUAACUUCGUG